rfam:Myotis lucifugus cont2.56983, whole genome shotgun sequence.
UGGCCAGUGGCUCAGUGGUUAGAGCGUCAGCCUGCACACUGAAGUUCACAGGUUCAAUUCUUGGUCAA